GCUGAUGAUGAUUAAUCCAUGUUUUCUGAGGUGUAGUUAGUUUCAAGCCCCUGUCUUUACAGGGAGAACCUACUUGAAACUGCUACAUUCAUAUGAGAUUACCGGAUCUGCUGAGGC